rnacentral:snRNA from 10 species
CUUGUAGUGAGCUGAGAUCCGGCCACUGCACUCCAGCCCGGGCGGCAGAGACUCCGUCUCAAAAAAAAAAAAAAAAGAAACAAUACAGAGAAGAUUAGCAGCGCCUGUGAGCAAGGAUGACAUGCAAAUUCUUGAAGCAUUUCAUAUUUUG